rnacentral:rRNA from 1 species
UACGGAGGGUGCAAGCGUUAUCCGGAUUCACUGGGUUUAAAGGGUGCGUAGGUGGGCUAGUAAGUCAGUGGUGAAAUCUCCGGGCUUAACCCGGAAACUGCCAUUGAUACUAUUAGUCUUGAAUGUCGUGGAGGUAAGCGGAAUAUGUCAUGUAGCGGUGAAAUGCUUAGAUAUGACAUAGAACACCAAUUGCGAAGGCAGCUUACUACACAGUAAUUGACACUGAGGCACGAAAGCGUGGGGAUCAAACAGG